GGCAUAUUCGAGACCUCAGUCCAGCCUUGUACUGUGUUGCGUAACUCCAUAGUACGGGCAGUACUGGGAAAUCGUGUGU